ACAGCCGCUCCGGGUGUGUGCACCAGGCAGGGCCAGGAGGGAGAGUGGGAGCCCCGGCAGACGUCGGAACUCUGGGGAAUAAAGAUACAGCAGCAUGUAUUCCUAGAAAGAUGAGCAAGAAAAGGGGUGGAAAUGGCACGAAGACAGCUUUGAUACAAGGCGCUCUGCUCGGGUGGAUGGAACC